rnacentral:tRNA from 1 species
CGGGCUGGAGCUCAACGGAAAGAGCAUGGCAUAAGUGUUGCCAAGGAGCUGGUUCGAACCCGGCCAGCCCGACCA